CAAAUGAAUUGACGGGACCCGCACAAGCGGUGGAUGAUGUGGUUUAAUUCGAUGCAACGCGAAAAACCUUACCCACCUUUGACAUGUACGGAAUCCUUUAGAGAUAGAGGGGUGCUCGAAAGAGAGCCGUAACACAGGUGCUGCAUGGCUGUCGUCAGCUCGUGUCGUGAGAUGUUGGGUUAAGUCCCGCAACGAGCGCAACCCUUGUCAUUAGUUGCUACAUUUGGUUGGGCACUCUAAUGAGACUGCCGGUGACAAGCCGGAGGAAGGUGGGGAUGACGUCAAGUCCUCAUGGCCCUUAUAGGUGGGGCUACACACGUCAUACAAUGGCUGGUACAAAGGGUUGCCAACCCGCGAGGGGGAGCUAAUCCCACAAAGCCAGUCGUAGUCCGGAUCGUAGUCUGCAACUCGACUACGUGAAGUCGGAAUCGCUAGUAAUCGUGGAUCAGAAUGUCACGGUGAAUACGUUCCCGGGUCUU
rnacentral:rRNA from 1 species